rnacentral:rRNA from 1 species
AUGAUCGUCACCACUGGAACUGAGACACGCCCCAGACUCUACGGAGCAGCAGUAGGAUCCUCGGCAUUGACGGAAGUCUGACGAGCCACGCGCGUGACCGAGAAGUUUUCGAUCGUAAAGUCUGUGUUAGGGAAGACAAGUACCGUUCAAUAGGGCAGUACCUUGACGGUACCUAUCGAGGAAGCCCGGCUAACUACGUGCCAGCAGCCGCGGUAAUACGUAGGGGGCAAGCGUUGUCCGGGAAUUAUUGGGCGUAAAGCGCGCGUAGGCGGUUUCUUAAGUCUGAUGUGAAAUCUUGCGGCUCAACCGCAAGCGGUCAUUGGAAACUGGGGAACUUGAGUGCAGAAGAGGAGAGCGGAAUUCCACGUGUAGCGGUGAAUGCGUAGAUAUGUGGAGGAACACCAGUGGCGAAGGCGGCUCUCUGGUCUGUAACUGACGCUGAGGUGCGAAAGCGUGGGGAGCGAACAGGAUUAGAUACCCUGGUAGUCCACGCCGUAAACGAUGAGUGCUAGGUGUUAGGGGGUUUCCGCCCCUUAGUGCUGCAGUUAACGCAAUAAGCACUCCGCCUGGGGAGUACGGCCGCAAGGCUGAAACUCAAAAGAAUUGACGGGGGCCCGCACAAGCGGUGGAGCAUGUGGUUUAAUUCGAAGCAACGCGAAGAACCUUACCAGGUCUUGACAUCUUCGGAUGUCCCUAGAGAUAGGGAGUUCCCUUCGGGGACCGAAUGACAGGUGGUGCAUGGUUGUCGUCAGCUCGUGUCGUGAGAUGUUGGGUUAAGUCCCGCAACGAGCGCAACCCUUGAUCUUAGUUGCCAGCAUUAAGUUGGGCACUCUAAGGUGACUGCCGGUGACAAACCGGAGGAAGGUGGGGAUGACGUCAAAUCAUCAUGCCCCUUAUGACCUGGGCUACACACGUGCUACAAUGGAUGGAACAAAGGGCAGCGAAGCGGCAACGCAUUAGCAAAUCCCAUAAAUCCAUUCUCAGUUCGGAUUGCAGGCUGCAACUCGCCUGUAUGAAGCCGGAAUCGCUAGUAAUCGUGGAUCAGCAUGCCACGGUGAAUACGUUCCCGGGCCUUGUACACACCGCCCGUCACACCACGAGAGUUGGCAACACCCGAAGUCGGUGGGGUAACCUUGAGCCAGCCGCCGAACUACCGUU